CCUUACUGUUCAGACAUCAGGUAGGAUCAGUCCCUUACUGUUCAGACAUCAGGUAGGAUCAGUCCCUUACUGUUCAGACACCAGGUAGGAUCAGUCCCUUACUGUUCAGACACCAGGUAGGAUCAGUCCCUUACUGUUCAGACAUCAGGUAGGAUCAGUCCCUUACUGUUCAGACGUCAGGUAGGAUCAGUCCCUUACUGUUCAGACAUCAGGUAGGAUCAGUCCCUUACCGUUCAGACACCAGGUAGGAUCAGUCCCUCACCGUUCAGACACCAGGUAGGAUCAGUCCCUCACCGUUCAGACAUCAGUUAGGAUCAGUCCCUCACCGUUCAGACAUCAGGUAGGAUCAGUCCCUCACCGUUCAGACAUCAGUUAGGAUCAGUCCCUCACCGUUCAGACGUCAGGUAGGAUCAGUCCCUCACCGUUCAGACACCAGGUAGGAUCAGUCCCUCACCGUUCAGACGUCAGUUAAUGUCAGUCCCUCACCGUUCAGACACCAGGUAGGAUCAGUCCCUCACCGUUCAGACACCAGGUAGGAUCAGUCCCUCACCGUUCAGACGUCAGGUAGGAUCAGUCCCUCACCGUUCAGACACCAGGUAGGAUCAGUCCCUUACCGUUCAGACAUCAGUUAGGAUCAGUCCCUCACCGUUCAGACAUCAGUUAGGAUCAGUCCCUCACCGUUCAGACAUCAGGUAGGAUCAGUCCCUCACCGUUCAGACAUCAGGUAGGAUCAGUCCCUCACUGUUCAGACGUCAGUUAAUGUCAGUCCCUUACUGUUCAGACAUCAGUUAAUGUCAGUCCCUCACCGUUCAGACAUCAGGUAGGAUCAGUCCCUUACUGUUCAGACAUCAGUUAA